rnacentral:rRNA from 1 species
UACGGAGGGUGCAAGCGUUAAUCGGAAUCACUGGGUUUAAAGGGUGCGUAGGUGGCGCAAUAAGUCAGAGGUGAAAGGUUACCGCUUAACGGUAAAAUUGCCUUUGAAACUGUUGUGCUUGAAUUAGGUUGAGGUUGGCGGAAUGUGACAUGUAGCGGUGAAAUGCAUAGAUAUGUCAUAGAACAUCGAUUGCGAAGGCAGCUGGCUAGACCUUAAUUGACACUGAGGCACGAAAGCGUGGGGAGCGAACAGG